rnacentral:rRNA from 1 species
UAGGGAAUCUUCGGCAAUGGGGGCAACCCUGACCGAGCAACGCCGCGUGAGUGAAGAAGGUUUUCGGAUCGUAAAGCUCUGUUGUAAGUCAAGAACGAGUGUGAGAGUGGAAAGUUCACACUGUGACGGUAGCUUACCAGAAAGGGACGGCUAACUACGUGCCAGCAGCCGCGGUAAUACGUAGGUCCCGAGCGUUGUCCGGAUUUAUUGGGCGUAAAGCGAGCGCAGGCGGUUUGAUAAGUCUGAAGUUAGAGGCUGUGGCUCAACCAUAGUUCGCUUUGGAAACUGUCAAACUUGAGUGCAGAAGGGGAGAGUGGAAUUCCAUGUGUAGCGGUGAAAUGCGUAGAUAUAUGGAGGAACACCGGUGGCGAAAGCGGCUCUCUGGUCUGUAACUGACGCUGAGGCUCGAAAGCGUGGGGAGCGAACAGGAUUAGAUACCCUGGUAGUCCACGCCGUAAACGAUGAGUGCUAGGUGUUGGAUCCUUUCCGGGAUUCAGUGCCGCAGCUAACGCAUUAAGCACUCCGCCUGGGGAGUACGACCGCAAGGUUG